rfam:Arabis alpina cultivar Pajares chromosome 2, whole genome shotgun sequence.
AUCCCAUGGUGAGGACAAGCUCUUGUAUACCCUUUAAUACGCUCACAUGCCUCAUACAAACUCUCUUCUUCGCCUUGCUCAAAUCUAGGUAUAUCGUUCCUUAUCUU